rnacentral:rRNA from 1 species
GGUUAACGGGGAAUUAGGGUUCAAUUCCGGAGAGGGAGCCUGAGAAACGGCUACCACAUCUAAGGAAGGCAGCAGGCGCGCAAAUUACCCAAUUCUAACAGCAUAAGAGAGGUAGUGACAAGAAAUAACAGUACAAGGCAGUUAAAAUGCUUUGUAAUUGGAAUGAUAGAAAUUUAAAUACUUUUUAAAGUAUCAAUUGGAGGGCAAGUCUGGUGCCAGCAGCCGCGGUAAUUCCAGCUCCAAUAGCGUAUAUUAAAAUUGUUGCAGUUAAAAAGCUCGUAGUUGAAUUUUUGCUAAAAAUAACCGGUCUGCUUUUAUUAAUAAAAGUGGUAUCUUGGUGUGUUUUUAGCAAUAAUGUCCUUUGAAAUGUUUUUUACUUUAUUGUAAGAGGCAAUUUUCAGGAUUUUUACUUUGAGAAAAUUAGAGUGUUUCAAGCAGGCUAACGUUUUGAAUACUGCAGCAUGGAAUAAUAAAAUAGGAUUUUAGUUCUACGUUAUUGGUUUUAAGAACUAAAUUAAUGAUUGAUAGGAGCAGUUGGGGGCAUUUGUAUUUAACUGUCAGAGG